GCUCCUUUUCCACAGAGCAGGCACAUACACACACUCCUGCUGUUGCUGACCCAAGAACAGCAGCUACACAUCAUAUUUUGGUUUGUGUUGGUGCUUCUUGCACCCAACUUAAAAGAGAAGGGACUUGGCUGUCAAGUAGAAGGAUUCCUUACCUUCAUUGGAAAGAAUUCACCAUCCUAUGGAUUUUGAGCAAUAGAAAAUAGCAAAGGACUGGAAAGCUUCUGGCAGCAGUAGUUACUGGCUGGUCAGGAUACCCCAGCCAUGCUUUCCUCUCACUGGAAUAAAAUGAUGGGCCCUCUAAUGCACCACAGAUCCCUUCUGUUUAUCUUCAAGUCUACCAGCUGGACCAGAUGCUGCAUUCACAGCUCCCCACCUGAGGAAAAAGUGGGACUGGUGGAGACAAUAAUUGGAUUCUCAGCAUUUUCACUGGCAGUCCUUGGUCCGGCUGGAUGGUUCAUGUGCCACCUUCCAAGCUAUAGAAAGAAACAGAAAGCAUCCCUUCAAAAUUAAGAACUGAAGGCUGCAAUAAACUGUAAUACUCCUAACUUGGACUCUCUUGAAAGGGAGAACCCAGUGACUUACAGGUCAGUUUUAAAUAAAAUGAUUGAGCAAUGAGUUCAGGUUUUAUGAAGGUCAUAUUGCUUCCAUAUGAAAAAACCAACAAAACAAAGACAAAACAAAACUCCUGAUAGAGAAUAUGGCUAACUAAAGUCCUAGCUCACAACCAUCAGUUCUGUGGGAGAGGUCCUAAAUCAUAAACCUUUUGCAGAUGUUGUAGAACUGGACCCAGAUAUAAAAUGGUAUAGUGACUGCAACAUAAUGGUAAGCCUACUCUUCCACCAUCAGCUGCAGUGGGACCAGGCUGCAUGGACCAGUUUGAACCUGUCAUCAGGUACUGUGGGAAAAUAAUGGAAGAUUGGGCAGGAGGACUGUAAACAUGCUCCACUGACUUGCAGCUGGGGUGUUGAAAAACACAUAUAUCAUACUAAUUGCUGUUUGGCCUCCUGUGUGCACAAGUAAAACAUCUGUGUUUAGAUAACACUGGCCUGUGACACACUUAGAGGCACCCUACUGAACAUGCCUGAGAUUCCUGCCCUGCUAUGGGAGAUCAAAGGACAGUGAUAAACUGUGCCUGUGUGAGUGAAUCCCUGAAAUAAAGGUGAGACCAGCAGGUUCAUGAUCCUCCAGCAUGGACUGAGCUCCGUGGUGCUUGCGUCCCUGGUUGUGUGCCUCUGCCUGGGGGCUACUUCAGGGAUCCCUUGGUUGGUGAGGUAACGAAAAUAAACUUAUUCUCUGCAUUUCAUCCAUGGUUCUGUGGUGGUUCCUGUACUCUGCCUGUGCUGGCUCACACAGGUACCACCAAAACUUUAAAUUAAAUAAAUGGGAAAAAAUACAGAAAAAAAAUUUUUCAUAGUUCUUAUUGUAAUCUCAGGCAAAAACUUGGAGCUUAUCAUUAAACUUUACAUGUGCUCUUUGGGGUGUUCCUGUACCCAGUCUUCUUUUCCAUCAGAACAAAUGUCUUCUGCAGGUUAUGUUUGUCAUAUACUUCAAUUUAUUUUCAAUUUUUAGUUAAAAAUUUGUGACAUUCGAGAUGUUUUCCCAUGGUUGCUAUUUAUAAUGAAUGCUAUGAUAAAUACUUUGAAGUCUAGACUGUAUUUGAAAUAAAUAAAAUAAAUUAUACUUGUGA